GUGAUCCAGCUGCAGUCUACUCAGCUGUGAGGACAGAAGAUGUCAGUUAAAGUCAGAUGUUGAUCAGAGGAAACAGGAACAGAGAGUUUUCACCUGAGCUGGAUGUUGUUUACUCCUCACUGAAGUAAAAGCGCUGAUGUUUAGCUUUGGACCCUCAGCUGGUUCACUCAGACCUUCAGACCAGUACAGACCAGUACAGAUAUGUAACUUUCUAUGUUAUUAAAAAUCGUUGGUCAAACUUUUAGUGCAGUGGUGGAUGGGUUCCUCUGUGGACCCGGCAAACCCGGUUCCAUUUUUGUUUUUUGGUUCUGUUGUAUCAGGAAACCUGGAGAUACUUUUCAAUGACAGAAAUAAAAAAUAAACAUUCAAACAUGAAUAAAUACCAGGAAUAAGAUUCAAAUGUGCCAAGAACUGAAAUGUCUGUAAAUAAUAAAAUACAUUUCUCAGUAAUUCUUUAAGAUGACUUUUAUUCACAUCAUACAACUCAAUGUAGCAAGAUCAUGGGGUGGUGUGAGGUUUCAAAACACGCAGCUAUAAGGAUUCCAGACUGUCUGUUGGGUCGCACCACUAAUAAUCUUCCUGUGGAUCCUGAGGGACUCCCAGCUGUCAGCAAUCCAGCCGAUUACAACCUAGCUACUUAAGGCUGCAGCACUGGAACGUCAACUGCUGAAUGUUUUUGGAGUGGAACCUUGGAUGCCAUAUCCUGUGGAUCGUUCAAGAGUCUCAGGUUGCUUCUUGCCAUACAAGAACCCCAGCUGAUCUGACUUGGUCAUCUUUAAGUUUUGCUGGUCUGACUGGUCCCUCUUCAACAAAACCUCAGAACUUGGAAUUCCUAGUCUUCUCCAGACAUCAACAAGGCUCCAUUGUAAAAUCUCACCAGAACCAGAUGUUGUCUAUUCUUCACUGAAGUAGUCCAGAUGAUGUCCACCAACCUGCUCUCAGCUCGUUCUCCAGAUCCAAACAUCAGCUUCCAUCUAAAGAUUUGUAUUAUGCACAUAUUUAUGACUCAUACCUUUAUAGAACAUAUUUAUAUUUCCAGUCUUCUUCAGAACUUCUAAUCAACAACAUCGACCAUUUUCAAGUAGUUAAAUGUUCCAUGAAUGUAUUUCAUGGUACAAAGACACUUUCUUUAUUGCUGUCAGUAAAUUCAUUGUUUAUUUCUCCAAUCUGGAAUAAAUAUUUCAUACAGCAGCAGAUUAGUUUCUUACAGAGUUUUUCUUUUGAUUUUAAUAUGUGGUUCUGUAGACUUGAACAAAAAGAGACAGAAAAUGACUUCCUGUUUUGAACUGAUCCAAACCUUUCCUCCGAAAAACUGAAAGAAACUGCAGAAUAAAACGUUCAAACACCACUGAGUGACAGAAAGUAUUAAACCAGAGCUGUUUCAUUUCUGUUUUUAUUCAUUAAUGUUGUCUAAAUCAUGCUGGAAAAUAGAGAUGUUAUUCAUGGUAUAUUGUAGAAUUUCUUCCUCUCAUAAUUUGGUUAGAAAUAAAAGUUACACUGACAUAAAAACUAUUUGCUGUAUAGAAUCAGAAAACAGGAACUUUAGUUACAGAAAGCAGUUUGUUCUCAGAAAGAUACACUGUGGAAACGUUUUGAUCUAAAAUGUUAAAGAUAUUUUAUUACUUUUAUUCAUUCCUAUGACGAUUAUUGACUUUACUUUGUUUUUCUUUUUAGUUUGUAUUUUUUCCACUAAACCUCCUGAGCUUUGA